rnacentral:rRNA from 1 species
AGCGAACGCUGGCGGCAGGCCUAACACAUGCAAGUCGAACGGAUCCUUCGGGAUUAGUGGCGGACGGGUGAGUAACACGUGGGAACGUGCCCUUUGGUUCGGAACAACUCAGGGAAACUUGAGCUAAUACCGGAUGUGCCCUUCGGGGGAAAGAUUUAUCGCCAUUGGAGCGGCCCGCGUCUGAUUAGCUAGUUGGUGAGGUAAAGGCUCACCAAGGCGACGAUCAGUAGCUGGUCUGAGAGGAUGAUCAGCCACAUUGGGACUGAGACACGGCCCAAACGCCUACGGGAGGAAGCAGUGGGGAAUCUUGCGCAAUGGGCGAAAGCCUGACGCAGCCAUGCCGCGUGAAUGAUGAAGGUCGUAGGAUUGUAAAAUUCUUUCACCGGGGACGAUAAUGACGGUACCCGGAGAAGAAGCCCCGGCUAACUUCGUGCCAGCAGCCGCAGUAAGAC